rnacentral:rRNA from 1 species
GUUCUGUCAAGGGCAAAUGCCGUGUAGCUAUGUUCGGUGCGGAUAAGCGCUGAAGGCAUCUAAGCGCGAAGCCCAUUCCAAGAUUAGGCAUCCCCUCUGACUUCGGUCAGAGAUAAGGCAUCUCGGAGACUACGAGGUUGAUAGGCCCCAGGUGUAAGGCCAGCGAUGGUUUUAGCCGAGGGGUACUAAUAUGCCGAAUGGCUUGACCGC